GAUGAACGCUGGCGGCGUGCCUAAUACAUGCAAGUCGAGCGAACAGACGAGGAGCUUGCUCCUCUGACGUUAGCGGCGGACGGGUGAGUAACACGUGGAUAACCUACCUAUAAGACUGGGAUAACUUCGGGAAACCGGAGCUAAUACCGGAUAAUAUAUUGAACCGCAUGGUUCAAUAGUGAAAGACGGUUUUGCUGUCACUUAUAGAUGGAUCCGCGCCGCAUUAGCUAGUUGGUAAGGUAACGGCUUACCAAGGCAACGAUGCGUAGCCGACCUGAGAGGUUGAUCGGCCACACUGGAACUGAGACACGGUCCAGACUCCUACGGGAGGCAGCAGUAGGGAAUCUUCCGCAAUGGGCGAAAGCUUGACGGAGCAACGCCGCGUGAGUGAUGAAGGUCUUCGGAUCGUAAAACUCUGUUAUUAGGGAAGAACAAAUGUGUAAGUAACUAUGCACGUCUUGACGGUACCUAAUCAGAAAGCCACGGCUAACUACGUG
rnacentral:rRNA from 1 species